AUGGUUUCAUUGCGUACCGUGUGGGUGAUACUCUCAAUUCUAUUUCAAAAACUUAUGUAUCUUCAGAUGUUGACUACUGGAAGGAUGUCGUCCGUAACGAGAUGGAUUUCCAUCAUGGCUAACGGACAUGAGAGAUCACUGAUCGUCCCUAUGGUUGCAAAGCUAUUGGUAUGUAAGUGGGUGUUCAAAAAGAAGCCAAGGACCGAUGGUACAAAUGAAAAGUGCAAGGAUAGGCUUGUGGCCAAGGAUUAUGCCCAGAAGGAAGGCAAAGCUUUCUUCAGUAGUUUCUCACAUGUGGCUGGACUGGCCACCCUUUGA
rnacentral:rRNA from 1 species